GGCAGAGUAGCUCCCCGUACCCCCAGGACUGUUGACCUGCAGUGCUCUCUGUGGACAAAGGGUGUGAGCAGCUGCUGGAAGAGGAGGUGCUCCUGAAGACACUGCGGCCGGCCCGCCUGUGCCCUUGGUGCCCUGGCUGCCUAGAGAGCCUCACCCCUGGGCCCUGGGGCCAGGACUCCAGGACUCUGACUACCUGCCCUCCCCCAGCCUCAGCGGCUGCACCUCCUCGUUAGUACUGAUGCACUGACCUCGGCACACAGCUGGGAGGGGUUGGGGGCUGGGUCAUG
rnacentral:lncRNA from 10 species